ACUCGAACAGACUCUAAAUAUUCCUAAAUUUGAAAAGCUUUUAAGAUUUGUAUAAUUUUGCAAAUUUCAGAAACAUUUGAAGGCUGAAGAUUACGCUCACUUCUUGAAGCUUCUCUGUGAACAUGGAGAUACGAGAAAUAGUAUUGAGAAUUUAUGCUCUGAGAUCGGCAGUUUUCUCAGUUGUGAGCCAGAUCUGAUG